UUCUAUCGUAAAACAAAAUCUCUGCUGACCGAGGACCCUAGUUUUUCUUCACCCUGCUUCAUCGUCUCGAGCCCUCUCAAUCUUGUCCGAUGCCCGAGAGAACCAUGAGCGUUGGAAUUAAACGAAAAUCGUCGCCCCUCUCAAUCUUCUCCCAUGGCCAAGAGACGGAGAAAGUUGGAAUUCGGGAUUGAAAGCAACAAACAAUUGCUUUGAUUCAUGUGUAAAAAUAUUAAGUUUCCUAUGUUUUUUCUUCUUUUUUAGGUACAUAUGAGUGUGGAUGGGAUUUUGCUGCUUUAAUGAUAAUUAUUGUUCCUUUUUUAUUUAGGUAUAUAUGAGUAUGGAACUUAUUUGAUUUGGCUUGGUUAUCUUAUAGGCAAUUCUUUUAUGCGCUGAUGUACGAUUGCGCUCAUAAGUUGGAUAAGCACUGGUUUGGAUUGGUCGAGGAUUUUGUGGCUGAGGAUUAUCAUUUUGUGUACUAUUUGGAACAAGGGAAGAUGAAUGUGGAUUGCAAUUUGGCUUUUUUGGCUCAUAGGCACUCAAGGAAGCGUGGUAAUCUCACCGACGUAGCUCGUCAAUAGGUUGAGAAACAGGGAUUUGGAACUUCUGUUUCGCUGAGGGUGGAGGUCUUAAGUUUAAUUUCUAGUGGGAAUCUUAGCUAGUUGAUUAAGUAUUUCUGUUUAAGUCGAUUUAUUUUAUUUUUUGUGAUUUGACAGGUUUUGAUCUUUUGGAUAGCUGCUAUUUUACACAUUUGAAGUGAUGUCUGAUCUUGUCAGUUUUUAUAUUGUUAAUGUUUGAAAAAUUGUUGAUUGAACUCUAUUAGGA
rnacentral:lncRNA from 1 species